rnacentral:lncRNA from 7 species
AUCUCUGCUAUUUGUCUUAUUUCUUUGUCUCUCUAAAAUUCACCUCGCCUCCCCAUUUCUUUGCUUACUCCGGCCGACUAUCUCUGCUAUUUGUCCCCUUGGGAGGGCGUGCUGCCGUCGGUCGGUGCUCCAGCGACUGUCCCUAUCGGCGGCAUGAUCGGAUGGUAAGAUGAUGGCUAGAUGUGGCUAGAGUUGCUGAAAGAGCUAAGGUCUGGACUAGUUGGACAACCAUAUUGUUGAUGUUUAGAUGAUGAAAUGUUAGAACCUACUCCAUCUGAUGUACUAUUAGUUGUCAUUUAGAACAGCGACACGGUCUCCAAAAUAUAACUUUCAUCAAUAUUUUUUGUUAAAAUACAAAUAAACUCUCAACAUUUAUACUUUUAUAAAAGUACUUAUUAUAACAAAUCGGUGUAUAUAAACAUUGUGUUUCAAAACUACAUAAUAAAAUAGUUAUUUGUAGUCAAAAUUUAUAAGUUUGAUUCAUGUCUUGAUCAAAACGACAACUAAUAGGACACCAGAUGGAGUAGGAAUAUAUUGUUGCCUUUUAACGGCUAAUACUCUGCAUGUCAAACUGUAACCAGAUUUACUAUUUCGAUUCGUAGUGGUUCUUUCUUACGAAUAUACAGUUGUUUGUGUUCUAGUUAUUUGUGCAGAUGUCAAGCCUAGUGGUCUUUAUGCAUUCAAGCAAUUUGUAUUUUUAUUCCAUUGUAAAUAUUUUUUUUCUUUAUCAACUCACCCUGCUUUAGUUUUGACGAGGAAAGACUCAACAAGAUUGAGCUGUUUUGAUUGC